rnacentral:ncRNA from 1 species
CAAUGUAAAUCUGUAAGGGUUAGCCACCCACCCGUAUCGAGCCUUGGGUCCAUGGCGGAGUAUCUGAAAGGAUGCGAACAAGAUGGUCUAAGCGUAGGCAGAGAAUCCUAUAGGCCGCAGGGGAGGACGCGCUCCCUGAAGUGCUGGUACAGCUUCGAGAUGGCAAACAAGCGGACGUCGAGGGUCUUGAUAAUCACCGAAGACAACACAGAAGCAUCCGUGAAAGGCGAGGAUGUGAAGGUUCGCCGGAGUCAACAGGCC